rnacentral:rRNA from 1 species
CCUACGGGCGGCAGCAGUAGGGAAUUUUGCGCAAUGGGCGAAAGCCUGACGCAGCAACGCCGCGUGAUCGAGACGCCCUUCGGGGUGUAAAGAUCUGUCAGUGGGGACGAAACUUGCCGGUACCCACAGAGGAAGCACCGGCUAACUCCGUGCCAGCAGCCGCGGGAAUACGGGGGGUGCCAGCGUUGUCCGGAAUCAUUGGGCGUAAAGAGUUCGUAGGCGGGACGUAAAGUCUGGUGGUAAUGGCAGAGGCUCAACUUCUUUACGGCACUGGAUACUUGCGGGCUAGAAUGCGGUAGAGGUAGAGGGAAGUCCGGGUGUAGCGGUGAAAUGCAUAGAUAUCGGGCAGAACAUCGGGGGCGAAAGCGCUUUACUGGGUCGUCAUUGACGCGGAGGAACGAAAGCCAGGGUAGCGAAUGGGAUUAGAUACCCUUGUAGUC